rnacentral:rRNA from 1 species
CCUACGGGAGGCAGCAGUGAGGAAUAUUGGUCAAUGGACGCAAGUCUGAACCAGCCAUGCCGCGUGCAGGAAGACGGCUCUAUGAGUUGUAAACCGCUUUUGUACGAGGGUAAACGCAGAUACGCGUAUCUGUCUGAAAUUAUCGUACGAAUAAGGAUCGGCUAACUCCGUGCCAGCAGCCGCGGUAAUACGGAGGAUUCAAGCGUUAUCCGGAUUUAUUGGGUUUAAAGGGUGCGUAGGCGGUCGGAUAAGUUGGGGGUGAAAUCCCGAGGCUCAACGUCGGAAUUGCCUCUGACAGUGUUCGGCUAGAGAGUACGUGAGGUAGGCGGAAUGUAUGGUGUAGCGGUGAAAUGCUUAGAGAUCAUACAGAACACCGAUUGCGAAGGCAGCUUACCAAGCUACUUCUGACGUUGAGGCACGAAAGCGUGGGGAGCGAACAGGAUUAGAUACCCGAGUAGUC